GGUGACUGCGUACCUUUUGUAUAAUGGGUCAGCGACUUAUAUUCUGUAGCAAGGUUAACCGAAUAGGGGAGCCGAAGGGAAACCGAGUCUUAACUGGGCGUUAAGUUGCAGGGUAUAGACCCGAAACCCGGUGAUCUAGCCAUGGGCAGGUUGAAGGUUGGGUAACACUAACUGGAGGACCGAACCGACUAAUGUUGAAAAAUUAGCGGAUGACUUGUGGCUGGGGGUGAAAGGCCAAUCAAACCGGGAGAUAGCUGGUUCUCCCCGAAAGCUAUUUAGGUAGCGCCUCGUGAAUUCAUCUCCGGGGGUAGAGCACUGUUUCGGCAAGGGGGUCAUCCCGACUUACCAACCCGAUGCAAACUGCGAAUACCGGAGAAUGUUAUCACGGGAGACACACGGCGGGUGCUAACGUCCGUCGUGAAGAGGGAAACAACCCAGACCGCCAGCUAAGGUCCCAAAGUCAUGGUUAAGUGGGAAACGAUGUGGGAAGGCCCAGACAGCCAGGAUGUUGGCUUAGAAGCAGCCAUCAUUUAAAGAAAGCGUAAUAGCUCACUGGUCGAGUCGGCCUGCGCGGAAGAUGUAACGGGGCUAAACCAUGCACCGAAGCUGCGGCAGCGACACUAUGUGUUGUUGGGUAGGGGAGCGUUCUGUAAGCCUGUGAAGGUGGCCUGUGAGGGUUGCUGGAGGUAUCAGAAGUGCGAAUGCUGACAUAAGUAACGAUAAAGCGGGUGAAAAGCCCGCUCGCCGGAAGACCAAGGGUUCCUGUCCAACGUUAAUCGGGGCAGGGUGAGUCGACCCCUAAGGCGAGGCCGAAAGGCGUAGUCGAUGGGAAACAGGUUAAUAUUCCUGUACUUGGUGUUACUGCGAAGGGGGGACGGAGAAGGCUAUGUUGGCCGGGCGACGGUUGUCCCGGUUUAAGCGUGUAGGCUGGUUUUCCAGGCAAAUCCGGAAAACCAAGGCUGAGGCGUGAUGACGAGGCACUACGGUGCUGAAGCGACAAAUGCCCUGCUUCCAGGAAAAGCCUCUAAGCAUCAGGUAAUAUCAAAUCGUACCCCAAACCGACACAGGUGGUCAGGUAGAGAAUACCAAGGCGCUUGAGAGAACUCGGGUGAAGGAACUAGGCAAAAUGGUGCCGUAACUUCGGGAGAAGGCACGCUGAUAUGUAGGUGAAGCGACUUGCUC
rnacentral:rRNA from 1 species